rnacentral:rRNA from 1 species
CCUACGGGAGGCAGCAGUGAGGAAUAUUGGUCAAUGGACGAGAGUCUGAACCAGCCAAGUCGCGUGAAGGAUGACUGCCCUAUGGGUUGUAAACUUCUUUUAUAUGGGAAUAAAAUGUUCCACGUGUGGGAUUUUGUAUGUACCAUAUGAAUAAGGAUCGGCUAACUCCGUGCCAGCAGCCGCGGUAAUACGGAGGAUCCGAGCGUUAUCCGGAUUUAUUGGGUUUAAAGGGAGCGUAGGUGGAUUGUUAAGUCAGUUGUGAAAGUUUGCGGCUCAACCGUAAAAUUGCAGUUGAAACUGGCAGUCUUGAGAUCAGUAGAGGUGGGCGGAAUUCGUGGUGUAGCGGUGAAAUGCUUAGAUAUCACGAAGAACUCCGAUUGCGAAGGCAGUUCACUGGACUGCAACUGACACUGAGGCUCGAAAGUGUGGGUAUCAAACAGGAUUAGAUACCCCUGUAGUC